GAAAUGGCAGACAUACAUCAUUUAAUGGAGCAACUGACUGAGCUUCGUCAGGAGUCUCUUUGACAGGAAGAUCUGCUUCAGGAAUGAAGGAAAAACAACACUUACCUUGUAAAGCGGUUAGAACACGAGAGUUUUCAGUGUGAAUUGCAGAUCAAGGAGUUAAGAGUGCAACAUGAAGAAAAUAUUAAAAAUUUAGCAGAUCAGUUUUUGCAGGAACAAAAGGAGGCCCAUAAGAUUCAAUCAAAUGAUGGAAAGAAUUGGGUAGAAAUGUCCACGUAGCACCUACAAAUAUUCCAAAUGUGCCUGAACAUAAUGCAAAUAAGAAUGAGGACCCCUCAAGCAAUCAUCUUCCACAUGGGAAAGAACGAGUUGGUGAUGCAGGGUUGCCUGGAGUAGAAGAGAAUGAUCUAGCAAAAGUAGAUUAGCUUCCUGCUGGUUCACAUCGAAGCCAGAAUGAAAAUCCCGGUACUUCACAACAGAACCCUUCAAACCUCUUCAGCACAUAACUCCAGGCCCAAACCCGGAGCGGGAACCCAGAAUUCAAACAGACAUGCUAAAGCAGGCCACCCGGGACAGAGCCGAUGAUUUCCACAAGUUGAAGCAAUGAUGAAGAACAGGAGCUUCAGCUGGAUCCUGCAGACUGUGGCAAACAGCGCUUCAGUGAUGUCCUU
rnacentral:lncRNA from 1 species